GAUGAACGCUGGCGGCGUGCCUAAUACAUGCAAGUCGAGCGAACAGACGAGGAGCUUGCUCCUCUGACGUUAGCGGCGGACGGGUGAGUAACACGUGGAUAACCUACCUAUAAGACUGGGAUAACUUCGGGAAACCGGAGCUAAUACCGGAUAAUAUAUUGAACCGCAUGGUUCAAUAGUGAAAGACGGUUUUGCUGUCACUUAUAGAUGGAUCCGCGCCGCAUUAGCUAGUUGGUAAGGUAACGGCUUACCAAGGCAACGAUGCGUAGCCGACCUGAGAGGGGGAUCGGCCACACUGGAACUGGGACCCGGUCCAAACCCCUACGGGAAGCAGCAGUAGGGAAACUUUCGGAAUUGGCGGAAGCCUGACGGAGCAACCGCCCGGGAGGUAAUAAGGGUUUCCGAUCGGAAAACCCUUUUAUUAAGGAAGAAAAAAUGUGUAAAGAACUUAUCCCCGCUUUGCGGUUCCUAAUCAGGAAGGCACGGCUUACUUCCGU
rnacentral:rRNA from 1 species